CCUACGGGGGGCAGCAGUGGGGAAUAUUGGGCAAUGGAGGCAACUCUGACCCAGCAACGCCGCGUGAAUGAUGACGGUCUUCGGAUUGUAAAGUUCUUUUCUAAGGGAAGAAGAAAGUGACGGUACCUUAGGAAUAAGCCUCGGCUAACUACGUGCCAGCAGCCGCGGUAAUACGUAGGAGGCAAGCGUUAUCCGGAAUGACUGGGCGUAAAGGGUGCGUAGGUGGUUUGACAAGUUAGUAGCGAAACUCCGGGGCUCAACUUCGGAACUACUACUAAAACUGUUGGACUUGAGUGCAGGAGGGGCAAUCGGAAUGCCUAGUGUAGCGGUGGAAUGCGUAGAUAUUAGGAGGAACACCAGUGGCGAAGGCGGAUUGCUAGACUGUGACUGACGCUGAGGCACGAAAGCGUGGGGAGCAAACAGGAUUAGAUACCCUUGUAGUC
rnacentral:rRNA from 1 species